CUUCGGUGAAAACAAAAAAAAAAUUGGCCUUGUUACUGACUGAAUCUUUGGUACUCUUGGUACUGCUUUCUUGUGUUUUUUGUUACAAAUUGUCUCAAUUGUCUGCAAGAACUGGAACUUACAAGUUACAAGUUCAUCGACUCAAGCCCUGCUUUCCCGUUUUUGCGUCGCAAUUCUACCGUAGAAACUUCCAGAACUGUCAAAUGUGUUUUGGAUAGAGCCGAAAAAAGUUUGUGGAUGAUGUUAAUGUUCGUUGAUAAAUUGCAAUACAUGGUUGUUUGACUUCAUUGCCACAUUCUGUUGAAACCAAACCUACAAAUGAAUACAAUGCAUGAAUGUGGAGCUUAGCUCUGAACUGGUGUCUUUAAUAGAAAAAAAAUGCGUGGACAUGAUACGGUGUCAGAUGCUGAUCGACGAUGCUGAUGGACUUUGUCAUAAUUAACUCAUACUAAGCAACAAUAACAACUGCUGAAGAAUGUUCCAGUCUGAGAGUUAGACACAAUUGUAUCUGUAUAAGUUGUGAAAUAUCUUUGGGAAGGCACUCAGAAAGACAAAAUUACAGGCCACAGACUUAUGAUGUCUGAUGGAUGCUGGUGCAUGCCUUGUUUGCAGGAUGAGCUUACCUCAAAAGCAUUGAAUAUCUAGUGAAUGUUAAAACUGUAUUAAGUGUGACGUUGCAUUAUAUGUAGUUAGUAGCUAUUUAUGUUCAUAGAAUUGUUAAAUUAUAUCAUUAAAUUGAUAAAAAGCUAA